GGUGAAAAGCACCCCGGAAGGGGAGUGAAAUAGAACCUGAAACCGUGUGCUUACAAGUAGUCAGAGCCCGUUAAUGGGUGAUGGCGUGCCUUUUGUAGAAUGAACCGGCGAGUUACGAUUUGAUGCAAGGUUAAGCAGUAAAUGUGGAGCCGUAGCGAAAGCGAGUCUGAAUAGGGCGUUUAGUAUUUGGUCGUAGACCCGAAACCAGGUGAUCUACCCUUGGUCAGGUUGAAGUUCAGGUAACACUGAAUGGAGGACCGAACCGACUUACGUUGAAAAGUGAGCGGAUGAACUGAGGGUAGCGGAGAAAUUCCAAUCGAACCUGGAGAUAGCUGGUUCUCUCCGAAAUAGCUUUAGGGCUAGCCUCAAGUGAUGAUUAUUGGAGGUAGAGCACUGUUUGGACGAGGGGCCCCUCUCGGGUUACCGAAUUCAGACAAACUCCGAAUGCCAAUUAAUUUAACUUGGGAGUCAGAACAUGGGUGAUAAGGUCCGUGUUCGAAAGGGAAACAGCCCAGACCACCAGCUAAGGUCCCAAAAUAUAUGUUAAGUGGAAAAGGAUGUGGCGUUGCCCAGACAACUAGGAUGUUGGCUUAGAAGCAGCCAUCAUUUAAAGAGUGCGUAAUAGCUCACUAGUCGAGUGACACUGCGCCGAAAAUGUACCGGGGCUAAACAUAUUACCGAAGCUGUGGAUUGUCCUUUGGACAAUGGUAGGAGAGCGUUCUAAGGGCGUUGAAGCAUGAUCGUAAGGACAUGUGGAGCGCUUAGAAGUGAGAAUGCCGGUGUGAGUAGCGAAAGACGGGUGAGAAUCCCGUCCACCGAUUGACUAAGGUUUCCAGAGGAAGGCUCGUCCGCUCUGGGUUAGUCGGGUCCUAAGCUGAGGCCGACAGGCGUAGGCGAUGGAUAACAGGUUGAUAUUCCUGUACCACCUAUAAUCGUUUUAAUCGAUGGGGGGACGCAGUAGGAUAGGCGAAGCGUGCGAUUGGAUUGCACGUCUAAGCAGUAAGGCUGAGUAUUAGGCAAAUCCGGUACUCAUUAAGGCUGAGCUGUGAUGGGGAGAAGACAUUGUGUCUUCGAGUCGUUGAUUUCACACUGCCGAGAAAAGCCUCUAGAUAGAAAAUAGGUGCCCGUACCGCAAACCGACACAGGUAGUCAAGAUGAGAAUUCUAAGGUGAGCGAGCGAACUCUCGUUAAGGAACUCGGCAAAAUGACCCCGUAACUUCGGGAGAAGGGGUGCUCUUUAGGGUUAACGCCCAGAAGAGCCGCAGUGAAUAGGCCCAAGCGACUGUUUAUCAAAAACACAGGUCUCUGCUAAACCGUAAGGUGAUGUAUAGGGGCUGACGCCUGCCCGGUGCUGGAAGGUUAAGAGGAGUGGUUAGCUUCUGCGAAGCUACGAAUCGAAGCCCCAGUAAACGGCGGCCGUAACUAUAACGGUCCUAAGGUAGCGAAAUUCCUUGUCGGGUAAGUUCCGACCCGCACGAAAGGCGUAACGAUUUGGGCACUGUCUCAACGAGAGACUCGGUGAAAUCAUAGUACCUGUGAAGAUGCAGGUUACCCGCGACAGGACGGAAAGACCCCGUGGAGCUUUACUGUAGCCUGAUAUUGAAAUUCGGCACAGCUUGUACAGGAUAGGUAGGAGCCUUUGAAACGUGAGCGCUAGCUUACGUGGAGGCGCUGGUGGGAUACUACCCUAGCUGUGUUGGCUUUCUAACCCGCACCACUUAUCGUGGUGGGAGACAGUGUCAGGCGGGCAGUUUGACUGGGGCGGUCGCCUCCUAAAAGGUAACGGAGGCGCUCAAAGGUUCCCUCAGAAUGGUUGGAAAUCAUUCAUAGAGUGUAAAGGCAUAAGGGAGCUUGACUGCGAGACCUACAAGUCGAGCAGGGUCGAAAGACGGACUUAGUGAUCCGGUGGUUCCGCAUGGAAGGGCCAUCGCUCAACGGAUAAAAGCUACCCCGGGGAUAACAGGCUUAUCUCCCCCAAGAGUUCACAUCGACGGGGAGGUUUGGCACCUCGAUGUCGGCUCAUCGCAUCCUGGGGCUGUAGUCGGUCCCAAGGGUUGGGCUGUUCGCCCAUUAAAGCGGUACGCGAGCUGGGUUCAGAACGUCGUGAGACAGUUCGGUCCCUAUCCGUCGUGGGCGUAGGAAAUUUGAGAGGAGCUGUCCUUAGUACGAGAGGACCGGGAUGGACAUACCUCUGGUGUACCAGUUGUCGUGCCAACGGCAUAGCUGGGUAGCUAUGUGUGGACGGGAUAAGUGCUGAAAGCAUCUAAGCAUGAAGCCCCCCUCAAGAUGAGAUUUCCCAACUUCGGUUAUAAGAUCCCUCAAAGAUGAUGAGGUUAAUAGGUUCGAGGUGGAAGCAUGGUGACAUGUGGAGCUGACGAA
rnacentral:rRNA from 1 species